CGGCCGCGCCGCCUCCGUGAGGGGGCGAGUCGGGAUUGUGUCACCCGCCCCGGGCUGACGCGUGGGCGAAAAUCGAUCGUGUCACCCGCCCCGAGUGACCUCCUGGGCCGAGAGCGGCACCUCGUUCCCCCGGCACGGCCCGGGAGGCGCCGCUCCGUCCCAACAUGGCGGGUGCCGCCUCUUCGUAGCCCGCCCCGGCUGUCAGCGCUGCCGCGGGCACGGACGGGCCGGGGAGGUCACGGCUGAAGAGCUGCUGGCGUGGUGCAGAAUUACCUGUGCUUAAGGUGCAGGCUCAGAGUUGUUCCUGCCCAAAGCCCAGCAGCCUCCAGUGCCUUGACCUGCCAGUGAGGUGUGAGCUGUUCUCCAGAGCAGCUCCUUCCUGCCCCUGGCAGAGCCCAGGGCUCGCAGCCAAGGCUCUGCAUCCAGCCCUCACAGCACAUCAAACCCCAGCACACGCCUGCUUUUCAUCUUGCUUAGUUCACUACACGAUAGCUAAAACAUAUGAGUACUUUUUUUGUUUGAUCUUUGUUUUGUUCCAGAAAAUACUGUAUUUGUUUCAUAGGAAGAGGUUAGCCUUAUUUGAUCAGAACUUGUGGAUGCCUGAGCCAGGAUCCUGUCUGCUAUAGCACUCUGCCUCAGACACUCCAGAGAAGAGGCUCAGCACCUUACACUAAGGAGAUGUAUUUAUUCUGUCCUUUUCCUGUUUCACCAGAAGAAUUUAUUUAAAUUUUCCCUCCACCAGCCUUUCUUACUAAUUUGAACCAUUAUUUUUUUUUCUUAGCUGAUUCAAUUUUAUGACCAUUUCCAUAGUGCCUGUUGUUACAGAAGUGUACGGAAUGACAUUAAACACAUCAUUGUUCAGAUCAGCCUAAGAGUGGACUAAACAACUUGAAUAAUAACUGCUACAGGCAGCAUCUGCUGUUUUGUGGCUGUUCUUCAAGCUACCUACUUGAAUUUUCUGUUGCUGAUUCUACUUUGCCUCACAGAGGUUGAAAUUGUGGAGAUGGUGUGAUGGUAUUACAUAACUAUUUCUCCUCCUAGUGUUCUCCAGAACUGAUAAAGACUUGAGAGUGGACUUGGAUUUCUGGAAUCCCUAUUACUGUUUCCUUCACCAAAGGUUCUUAAAGAGAUUUGGUUGCCAUGGAAGAUUAACAUAAAUCCUUAUUAAAAAUAGAAUAAGGAAUAAAAGGUUUUUACAGCAAAAUC